UUAGCCCUUACUUAUUUUCGCCGGAUCUGAAUUGGAACGUACUGCGUACUCAAAUUUUGGCUAGUAAGUACGGACAGUACAGGUAUUGGAACACGGCGGGGCGGGACUCUGCCCAAGUUUUCCCGCUUCUUCUCAGUUUGGGGCCGAAUCAACUGAACAAUAGAAUCUCGGAUCUCCAUUUUUGUGCCAUUCAAUUGCAUGUGACGAUUGAUCUGGACUCAAGCUGUAGGCCUACCAGUCAGAUGAGUAACUCAGUGGAGGAGGAGGACUUUGCGGAUAUCAGGGCCUACUUUUCCACAACAAAAUGGAACCGCCUCUGUAUGGCAGAGAAAAAAAGAUUCCUGCAGAUCAAGGAAAACCAUUUGGUUCUGUCGUCUCUUGGCCUGUCCUUUGUGGCUCCAGCCUUCAUGAGGAGAGAGAAGCCCGGCCAGGUGAGAGUCUGCUCACCUGAAGAGACAGACUCUGAGGAGGUGCAGCUCUGGACCUCUGGAUUGACCGAGUCUCUCAGGGCGGGGCUGGAGUGACCAGGAGGUCUCUGGAGGGACCACUCCUUCUCAUCCAGAGAUCAACCCCCCCGGAGGAGGAGUAGAGAGGGGCUCUGCAGUCCAGGAGGAGGUCUCCUUGGGUUAGCUCUGAUCCCACCACUGCUUCCCUGCAAUAACACCUUUUUGUGCGCGUAUGUGUGUGUGUGUGUGUGUGUGUGUGUGUGUGUGUGU
ensembl:lncRNA